UGUAUCUUGUACUGGAGGCGCAAUGCUAAAGAGACAGCGAAGCUGAUGAACACCUAGCUGGCUUUUGGGCUAGGCUAAGCACUACCAAGUCAAUCCCAGGAUUUUCCGGAGUUUAUUGAUCGAUUAUCUAUUGCUUGGCUAUCGCAAGGAAUUGGCCACGUAUUUGGGCUAGGCUAAGCACUACCAAGUCAUCCCCAGGAUUUUCCUGAAUUUUCCGGAUUAGCUAUUGAUUGGCUGUCGAUAACUGACUGUGCUUAAGUAGUCCCAACUAUACUUAGCUAGACUUAGCCAGGCUCAGCUUCGCUAGUUCACAGGAGUAUGUGCCAUUGCGCUUCGACCCUUUCUGCACUACCGCCAGGAUCAGUCCACAUUUUUGGAUUCAGCAGACACAUUACGCCUGGCUUAAACAGCUCCGCUAUUAAAA
rnacentral:lncRNA from 1 species